ACGGACCAAGGAGUUUAGCGUGUACGCAAGUCAUUGGGUGAAUAAAACCCAAAGGCGAAAUGAAAGUAAAGAGUUGAAAAUUUGUAAUUUAUUAUAAAAUUUUCACUUAAGGGAAGAUGUAUUUUAUUUUUUAUUAUAAUUUGAAAAUUUAUUUUCAAGUUUUAUAAAAAAAGAAAUAUCGCAUUCCCAGGGUGCUUGUUUCUCGCUUUGCGAGUCUAUGCACACCUAGAGCGUACACGCUGAUACCCGAAAGAUGGUGAACUAUGCCUGGCCAGGACGAAGCCAGGGGAAACCCUGGUGGAGGUCCGCAGCGAUUCUGACGUGCAAAUCGAUCGUCGGAGCUGGGUAUAGGGGCGAAAGACCAAUCGAACCAUCUAGUAGCUGGUUCCCUCUGAAGUUUCCCUCAGGAUAGCUUGCGCUCGGUUGAGACGAGUCUCAUCCGGUAGAGCGAAUGAUUAGAGGCAUUGGGGUCGAAACGACCUCAACCUAUUCUCAAACUCCAAAUAGAUGAGAACCCCGGCUUUCUUGAAAAAAAAUUAAUGAAGCCGUGGGAUUCGGAUCARAGUGCCAAGUGGGCCAAUUUUGGUAAGCAGAACUG
rnacentral:rRNA from 1 species